rnacentral:rRNA from 1 species
UACGAAGGGGGCUAGCGUUGCUCGGAAUCACUGGGCGUAAAGCGCACGUAGGCGGUCUUUUAAGUCAGGGGUGAAAUCCUGGAGCUCAACUCCAGAACUGCCUUUGAUACUGAGAGGCUUGAGUCCGGGAGAGGUGAGUGGAACUGCGAGUGUAGAGGUGAAAUUCGUAGAUAUUCGCAAGAACACCAGUGGCGAAGGCGGCUCACUGGCCCGGUACUGACGCUGAGGUGCGAAAGCGUGGGGAGCAAACAGGG